rnacentral:rRNA from 1 species
UACGUAGGGGGCAAGCGUUAUCCGGAAUUACUGGGUGUAAAGGGAGCGUAGACGGUUAAGUAAGUCUGGAGUGAAAGGCCGGGGCCCAACCCCGGGACUGCUCUGGAAACUAUUGAACUUGAGUGCAGGAGAGGUAAGCGGAAUUCCUAGUGUAGCGGUGAAAUGCGUAGAUAUUAGGAGGAACACCAGUGGCGAAGGCGGCUUACUGGACUGUAACUGACGUUGAGGCUCGAAAGCGUGGGGAGCAAACAGG